rnacentral:misc_RNA from 1 species
GAUGAAGAACGUAGCGAAAUGCGAUAAGUAAUGUGAAUUGCAGAAUUCAGUGAAUCAUCGAAUCUUUGAACGCAUCUUGCGCUCCUUGGUAUUCUGAGGAGUAUGCCUGUUUGAGUGUCAUUAAAUUCUCAACUACACUGACUUUGAAUUGGUGUGGCUUGGAUUUGGGGGGAAAAUUGUUGUGGGCUUUUUGUAUAGUCUGCUCCCCUGAAAUUGAUUAGCGGUACCUUUGUGGAACUGUCUACAGGUGUGAUAAUUAUCUACAUCUUAGACAUCUGCUGGAAUGCUGCUUUCUAAACCUUACUUGUAUUGACAAUCUUGACCUCAAAUCAGGUAGGACUACCCGCUGAACUUAAGCAUAUCAAUAAGCGGAGGA